rnacentral:rRNA from 1 species
GAUUAACGCUGGCGGCGUGCCUAACACAUGCAAGUCGAGCGGCAGCGAGUUUUACACUGUAUUCUGGACGCUUCUAGUUGAAAGAGAAGAGUUAUUCAAGAAUUUUGUGUAAAAUGUCGGCGAGCGGCGGACGGCUGAGUAACGCGUGGGAACGUACCCCAAAGUGAGGGAUCACGCAUCGAAAGGUGUGCUAAUACCGCAUAUGGUCUUCGGAUUAAAGCCUUCGGGCGCUUUGGGAACGGCCUGCGUAAGAUUAGAUAGUUGGUGGGGUAAUGGCCUACCAAGUGGACGAUCGUUAACUGGUUAGAGAGGAUGAUCAGUCAGACUGGAACUGAGACACGGUACAGACUCCUACGGGAAGAAGCAGUGAGGAAUCUUCCAGAAUGGGCGAAAGGCUGAUGGAGCAACGCCGCGUGCAGGAUGAAGGCCUUAGGGUAGUAAACUGCUAUUAUAAGUGAGGCUUAUGACAGUAACUAAUGAAUAAGGAUCGGCUAACUACGUG